AUUGGUGCUAGUUGCGGACUUGGGGUAUAGACACCAUUUUACACACGUGGUAUCACGUUGAGGUAGGCGUGGCUUGAAUGUCGACCAAUGGAACUUAUCAAGAUGUAGAUUGCUCGUGUUUGAAUUUCUUACCACUCAACACUGAUGAGUGACCAGGACCAGAAAAAAGUUGAGUAGAUGGACUAGUCUUGCCCCCGCCCCUUCACUACCUGUGGAGGAAGGAAGACUGUGUCUUACAGCUACUCUGGUUAUUGGUUUGGCAUUGUUACAUUCAGAAAUGAUGUCUCUUCCUUUCUGUAGACACAUUUACAAGUAUUUACUUAACAAGAAG